AGAAACAGAAAGCUAAAAACGAAACAGAGCAGGAAAGAAAGGAGAAAGGGAAAAUUAGGGUUUAAAGUUUUGAAGCUUUAAAGGUAAGUUAAAUCAAGUCCUUUUCUCAUAAAUUUGAUGUUUUUGGAAUCCUAGAGUGAAAUACUCUUGGAUAUAAGUUGAAAAUUUGAAAGUUAAUAGAUUUUUGAGUAAGAGUUAUGUUGAAUAAAUGAUGGAAUUGAGGGUUUAUUUGAUAGAAUUUCUAGUUAGAAUUGAUAAAAGGAUUAAAUUGUGAAGUAAGCUAUAAGUUUUGAAUUUUAGGGAUUAAAUUGAAAUAAAUUCGAAAUUAUGAAAAUAUGAUAAAAAUUAGAUAGUUAAAUGUGAGUUUGGUAGGAAAUUAAGUAGUAAAAAGGUAUGAAUUGAGAAAGAAAAAUAUAUAGGUUUAGUUAGGAUUAAAUUAGAAUUAAAGUAAAAGUUAGAUAAAAAUUUCAGCAAUUAAAUUGUUUUGUGCUAAUGAUUGUGAAAUUAUUUUAAUUGUUCGUAGCUAAUAUCGAGCCUGAAGCAUCGGCCCAAAAAGGAAAAGAAAAGAUCGUCGAGGAUUAGAUCCGAAGAGAAUUCCGGUUUGUAUUACUAUAAUUCAAAUUUAUUUAUUAUUAAUUGUUAUAUUUUAAUUAAAAUGCAUGGUAAGUAAAAUUAGGUAAGCAAUUGAAAUGAUAAUAGUGAUUUGAAUUGAAUUAAAUUGAAUUGAAUGAUGGAAAUAUGUGAGUAUUUGAAAUGUAUAUUGAUUGAAAAGUAAUUAGUGAUUUGAAUUUGAUUGGAAAAUGAAUUUAAAAUAUGAAUUAAAUAAAGUGAAUUAACUUAUGAAUAUGUGUGAAUAUGUGAAUUGUGUAUUGAUUGAAAAGUGGUUUGAGUUGAAUCGAAAUAUGAUUAUAUGUGAUUAUUUGAAAUAUGUAUUGUUAUUAAAUUGUUAAUUGAUUAGAAAGUGAAAAAGUGAUCUUGAAUUGAAAAUGAAAGUGAAUUGAGAAUUUGAAUACCCUAUUAACUAGUCGGGCUAAGUCAGAUAUAGUUGGCAUGCCAUAGGAUUGGAAGAGUACGGGAUUUAUCGGCUUUGCCGACCAGGCACUUUAUGUGUUGUAUUUCAGGCACUUUAUGUGUCGUAUCAGGCAUCUCGUGUGUCGUUUCAGGCACUUAUGUGUCGUAUACUGAUCAGGUACUAUGUACCGUUUUAGGCACAAUGUGCCGUACUGGUGUGUUUGGGUUGGAAUCCGUGUAUCCAUCAAAGUCCAGAUUGUUAAUAGGGUGAAUAAUUGAAAUGAGAAAAUUAAAUGAAUUUGAUCGAUUGAGGUAUUGAAUAUGAGAAAAUUUAAAAUUCGCAGAUUGAAAUCGAUAUUGAAAAUAAAAGGCAUGAAUUUAAUGUUUAUGUAAUGAUUGAAAUUGCUAUAUGUGAUAUGUGAUUGAGAUUAAAAGAUAGCUAAAAAUUGUAUUGUUAUUGUUAAAUAAUGAAAGUUUAUGAAUUAAUUGAUAUUUAAGAAAUCGGAUAGUUACAUGCUUCGUAAUUAUAAUUCUUUAUUGUUAUUAUAAUUUGAAUUAUGGUAAUACCAAUAUAAAAUACUCAGCGUACGGUUGUUUCCGUGCUCAGGUUGAAAAAGGGGUCUGAGUCUCGAUUCAGCAUCCAGGUCAAUCCCGAUUCCUGCAUAGAGAUUACGGUGAUGUUUCUUCCUUAAAUGAAAGUGGCAUGUACAUAAGAAUUAUAAUAGUUAUUUUGGUAUGUUAUAUAGUUUUGUUGUAAAGUAAGAUAUUAUGUGUUUUGAUGAUUAUAUUAGUAAAAUGGUGCAAGUCCUUUAUGGCAUUGGUAUCAAAUCGAAAUGACUUGAUUAGUUUUAUGAGUUAAUUAGAAAUGAUAAUAGGAUUUUUUAUUAAUUAGGUUGUUAUGUCAAUAUGUCAAGUACGAUUUAAGUAUAUAAAUGCCUUGAUUGAAAUAGUGG
rnacentral:lncRNA from 1 species